rnacentral:lncRNA from 1 species
AGUCAUUUUGGUUGAAUUUAUAAUUUUAUAAAAAAAAAUGAGUAAUCUAAAACCAGUGAUACAUUAUCCUUUCUAAUUUUCAUCGGUAUACAUGUUUUACUUGUUCUCUAUUGGAGAUUACUUAACAAUUUGUUCAACAUUUUUAAUUAUUGAAAAAAAAAUAUAAGAGCUGAUAGAAUAGAAGAGGGACGAAAGAUGCCAAACGGACAGUCAAACUCAUAAAUAGAUUAGUAUAACUAUAUAAUAUUGGUCUUCAAAAUUCAUUCCGUAAAACGAUGUUAUGGCUGACUAUAAAAGGUACGAAUUCAAAUAGAACUAUGACAGUCGUCAUAUAUAUAUUUGUUAUGGUCUCUCGUGCCUAUCGUCAUUUAUUUUUUUUAGGUCGGUGGUUAAUUAAAUUGCGUACAGUCCCAAAAUGUUGAUAUUUAAUAAUGACUC